CAGACACUCAGGUCUUAACCUGCCCUCUGCAACACACCCAGACAGUCUCUUCCUAGCAGGUGCAGCCAGGAGGUCACCCAGGUUUUCUCUCCACCAGGUGGGAUCCAGAACCAUGCUGGGUCCCCUUGCUAUCCUGUGUGCUCUCCUAUUUCCCGGUGGUGGAGCAGGGCUCAAGCUGAGUCAGACCGCUUUGUUGGUGGCACGCGUGGGCAGUUCACGUUCUCUGGAUUGCCAAGUGGACAGCUCGGUCAGCUACAUCCACUGGUACCGCCAACAGGAGGGUACGGCGCCGAAGAGGCUCCUCUACCUAGACAUGUCCACGUCCCUUGUGCAACGGGAUUUUGUCCUGAAAGCAGACAAAGUUUAUGCCAAGAAGGGCAAGGAUAGCUACAGCUGUAUUCUGUCACUGCUGAAACUGGAGAAAAGUGACGAAGGCGUGUACUACUGUGCUGCCUGGGCAUACCACAGCCCUGUGCUCUGACCAGGUCCCUGAGCAAAAAGGUCUCUGUCUCCCAGGACACUGAAGACCUGGCACAUUUCAAUGACUCUGGGUCUCUGGGGAU